CCCAUGUUUAUAUGUUAAAUUGCACUUGUCUCUCUCUCUAUCUCUGUUAACACAUUUAUAUUUGUUUGAUUAAUUCUUGUGUCUUUCAGCCUGUUUCUGCCUAUCACCAUUCCUCAAUACUCAGAUUUAUCAUCAAGAUCUCAAUUAUAAGCUCAAGUUUUGAUGACAACUUGGUGAUCUGCAGAAAGCACCACCAUGUAAGGAAGGCCAAGACCACUCUGGAAUCAGUCAAGGGUGAAAUGGAGUGAGGCAUACCAGGAUAUGCCUGGUUUUACUUUUGGGAAGGAGGUUGAACAGUGCAAUAUUUCUUCUAUAGGCUUGCAGUGACCAGACAUGCUACUGUAACUCUCAUGGUCAUGUGCUGGAAUUAGCAGAUAUUCAACAAUUUGGCCAUCUCGCUGACCUGUUGAUAUCAGAAGACCGCAACAGCUCUGCAAAGCAAGUUGCAAAACAGAAUCCAUGAAACUGGCAGUGACUGGAAACCAGUUGGAAGACUUUGGUCUGUGAUGUAGAGGAGUGGGCAGAGGUAGCAGAAGCAAAGACAACAAAAAGAAGAAGUGAUGUGGAUGUCUUCGUCAUAUUGCAUGACUCUGCUGACCCAGCAACAAAGAGGAGGGUGUUCAACAUCAUCCUGCUAGUCAGGAUUCUUCAGGAGAAGCAGUGGAUUCUUGUGGCAGAGAUGGUCAACCACUAUAAAUACCUUUCAACUCAUCCUGGUUCUUUCAAAGAACUUUCCUGCUUGUUUGCUACUGAAAUGUACUGAUUCGACAUGUGGCCUUAACGAAGAGGGGUUAAAAGGUCUAUGGAUCAUCAUUCUCAG